rnacentral:tRNA from 1 species
AUUAGCUCAGUUGGUAGAGCACCUGACUUUUAAUCAGGGUGUCCCGAGUUCGAAUCUCGG